GGGUUGUGAGGUUAAGCGACUAAGCGUACACGGUGGAUGCCCUGGCAGUCAGAGGCGAUGAAGGACGUGCUAAUCUGCGAAAAGCGUCGGUAAGGUGAUAUGAACCGUUAUAACCGGCGAUGUCCGAAUGGGGAAACCCAGUGUGAUUCGUCACACUAUCGUUAACUGAAUACAUAGGUUAACGAGGCGAACCGGGGGAACUGAAACAUCUAAGUACCCCGAGGAAAAGAAAUCAACCGAGAUUCCCCCAGUAGCGGCGAGCGAACGGGGAGCAGCCCAGAGUCUGAAUCAGCUUGUGUGUUAGUGGAACGGUCUGGAAAGUCCGACGGUACAGGGUGAUAGUCCCGUACACCAAAAUGCACAGGUUGUGAACUCGAAGAGUAGGGCGGGACACGUGGUAUCCUGUCUGAAUAUGGGGGGACCAUCCUCCAAGGCUAAAUACUCCUGACUGACCGAUAGUGAACCAGUACCGUGAGGGAAAGGCGAAAAGAACCCCGGCGAGGGGAGUGAAAAAGAACCUGAAACCGUGUACGUACAAGCAGUGGGAGCACCUUCGGGUGUGACUGCGUACCUUUUGUAUAAUGGGUCAGCGACUUAUAUUCUGUAGCAAGGUUAACCGUAUAGGGGAGCCGCAGGGAAACCGAGUCUUAACUGGGCGUUAAGUUGCAGGGUAUAGACCCGAAACCCGGUGAUCUAGCCAUGGGCAGGUUGAAGGUUGGGUAACACUAACUGGAGGACCGAACCGACUAAUGUUGAAAAAUUAGCGGAUGACUUGUGGCUGGGGGUGAAAGGCCAAUCAAACCGGGAGAUAGCUGGUUCUCCCCGAAAGCUAUUUAGGUAGCGCCUCGUGAACUCAUCUUCGGGGGUAGAGCACUGUUUCGGCUAGGGGGUCAUCCCGACUUACCAACCCGAUGCAAACUGCGAAUACCGAAGAAUGUAAUCACGGGAGACACACGGCGGGUGCUAACGUCCGUCGUGAAGAGGGAAACAACCCAGACCGCCAGCUAAGGUCCCAAAGUCAUGGUUAAGUGGGAAACGAUGUGGGAAGGCCCAGACAGCCAGGAUGUUGGCUUAGAAGCAGCCAUCAUUUAAAGAAAGCGUAAUAGCUCACUGGUCGAGUCGGCCUGCGCGGAAGAUGUAACGGGGCUAAACCAUGCACCGAAGCUGCGGCAGCGAACGUAUCACUUAAAACGCUUAACAUGCAGGCUGCGCCUGCAUGUUCAAGCCACAUAAACGUCGAGUGGGCCUGCGGGCUGACAGACGACAGGCGUUUUAAGGAUACGUUCGUUGGGUAGGGGAGCGUUCUGUAAGCCUGCGAAGGUGACCUGUGAGGGUUGCUGGAGGUAUCAGAAGUGCGAAUGCUGACAUAAGUAACGAUAAAGCGGGUGAAAAGCCCGCUCGCCGGAAGACCAAGGGUUCCUGUCCAACGUUAAUCGGGGCAGGGUGAGUCGACCCCUAAGGCGAGGCCGAAAGGCGUAGUCGAUGGGAAACAGGUUAAUAUUCCUGUACUUGGUGUUACUGCGAAGGGGGGACGGAGAAGGCUAUGUUAGCCGGGCGACGGUUGUCCCGGUUUAAGCAUGUAGGCUGGUUAUCCAGGCAAAUCCGGAUAAUCAAGGCUGAGGUGUGAUGACGAGGCACUACGGUGCUGAAGUAACAAAUGCCCUGCUUCCAGGAAAAGCCUCUAAGCAUCAGGUAACAUCAAAUCGUACCCCAAACCGACACAGGUGGUCAGGUAGAGAAUACCAAGGCGCUUGAGAGAACUCGGGUGAAGGAACUAGGCAAAAUGGUGCCGUAACUUCGGGAGAAGGCACGCUGGUGUGUAGGUGAAGUCCCUGCGGAUGGAGCUGAGACCAGUCGAAGAUACCAGCUGGCUGCAACUGUUUAUUAAAAACACAGCACUGUGCAAACACGAAAGUGGACGUAUACGGUGUGACGCCUGCCCGGUGCCGGAAGGUUAAUUGAUGGGGUUAUCCGUAAGGAGAAGCUCUUGAUCGAAGCCCCGGUAAACGGCGGCCGUAACUAUAACGGUCCUAAGGUAGCGAAAUUCCUUGUCGGGUAAGUUCCGACCUGCACGAAUGGCGUAAUGAUGGCCAGGCUGUCUCCACCCGAGACUCAGUGAAAUUGAACUCGCUGUGAAGAUGCAGUGUACCCGCGGCAAGACGGAAAGACCCCGUGAACCUUUACUAUAGCUUGACACUGAACAUUGAGCCUUGAUGUGUAGGAUAGGUGGGAGGCUUUGAAGCGUGGACGCCAGUCUGCGUGGAGCCAACCUUGAAAUACCACCCUUUAAUGUUUGAUGUUCUAACGUUGGCCCCUGACCGGGGUUGCGGACAGUGUCUGGUGGGUAGUUUGACUGGGGCGGUCUCCUCCCAAAGCGUAACGGAGGAGCACGAAGGUUAGCUAAUCCUGGUCGGACAUCAGGAGGUUAGUGCAAUGGCAUAAGCUAGCUUGACUGCGAGCGUGACGGCGCGAGCAGGUGCGAAAGCAGGUCAUAGUGAUCCGGUGGUUCUGAAUGGAAGGGCCAUCGCUCAACGGAUAAAAGGUACUCCGGGGAUAACAGGCUGAUACCGCCCAAGAGUUCAUAUCGACGGCGGUGUUUGGCACCUCGAUGUCGGCUCAUCACAUCCUGGGGCUGAAGUAGGUCCCAAGGGUAUGGCUGUUCGCCAUUUAAAGUGGUACGCGAGCUGGGUUUAGAACGUCGUGAGACAGUUCGGUCCCUAUCUGCCGUGGGCGCUGGAGAAUUGAGGGGGGCUGCUCCUAGUACGAGAGGACCGGAGUGGACGCAUCACUGGUGUUCGGGUUGUCAUGCCAAUGGCACUGCCCGGUAGCUAAAUGCGGAAGAGAUAAGUGCUGAAAGCAUCUAAGCACGAAACUUGCCCCGAGAUGAGUUCUCCCUGAGACUUUAAGUCUCCUGAAGGAACGUUGAAGACGACGACGUUGAUAGGCCGGGUGUGUAAGCGCAGCGAUGCGUUGAGCUAACCGGUACUAAUGAACCGUGAGGCUUAACCUUACAACGCCGAAG
rnacentral:rRNA from 1 species